rnacentral:tRNA from 1 species
GCUCUCAUGGCGCAGUAGGUAGCGCGCGUCCUUGGUAAGGACGAGGUCACGGGUUCAAAUCCCGUUGAGAGCU